CCUACGGGGGGCUGCAGUGGGGGAUAUUGCACAAUGGGGGAAACCCUGAUGCAGCGACGCCGCGUGGGUGAAGAAGUAUUUCGGUAUGUAAAGCCCUAUCAGCAGGGAAGAAAGAAGACGGUACCUGACUACGAAGCCCCGGCUAACUACGUGCCAGCAGCCGCGGUAAUGCGUAGGGGGCGAGCGUUAUCCGGAUUCACUGGGUGUAAAGGGAGCGUAGACGGCCGUGCAAGCCAGGAGUGAAAGCCCGGGGCCCAACCCCGGGACUGCUCUUGGAACUGUGCGGCUGGAGUGCGGGAGGGGCAGGCGGAAUUCCUGGUGUAGCGGUGAAAUGCGUAGAUAUCAGGAGGAACACCGGCGGCGAAGGCGGCCUGCUGGACCGCGACUGACGUUGAGGCUCGAAAGCGUGGGGAGCGAACAGGAUUAGAUACCCUUGUAGUC
rnacentral:rRNA from 1 species